rfam:Candidatus Woesebacteria bacterium RIFOXYA1_FTLL_40_18 rifoxya1_full_scaffold_3929, whole genome shotgun sequence.
GGGGACGAUCGGUUUCGACGGAAGGCACUUUAAAAAACUGCAAGCCAAGUUUGAGUAUCACUUGUCAAAAGGACUCAAAACUAAGCGUCAAAUCUAACGAUUACGCUGUAGCCUACGCUUAAAAAACGUUUUUAGGCUACUGUCUUUGGGGAAGCGCCUCUUGACCGCACCCCUAAGGCAUAAACCUGUCGAGAUGCUGUCGUUUCUUUUGAUUUAGAGAAACUACAAAAGAAAAUUAAAUCUUACUUUAAGAAUUUUGUUACUUUAUCUACUUAAAGGAAAUUUCAAAGUAACUAAGCUUGUAGUAGUUUUUUAGAAUGUUAUUUCGGACGCGGGUUCGAUUCCCGCCGUCUCCACAA